CUACGGGCUGCUCCAGCGGGGAAUAUUGCACAAUGGAGGAAACUCUGAUGCAGCAACGCCGCGUGGAGGAUGACACUUUUCGGAGCGUAAACUCCUUUUAUAUAGGAAGAAGAUGACGGUACUAUAUGAAUAAGCGCCGGCUAACUCCGUGCCAGCAGCCGCGGUAAUACGGAGGGCGCAAGCGUUACUCGGAAUCACUGGGCGUAAAGAGCGUGUAGGCGGAUUAAAAAGUCAGAAGUGAAAUCCUAUAGCUUAACUAUAGAACUGCUUCUGAAACUCUUAAUCUAGAAUAUGGGAGAGGUAGAUGGAAUUUCUGGUGUAGGGGUAAAAUCCGUAGAGAUCAGAAGGAAUACCGAUUGCGAAGGCGAUCUACUAGAACAUUAUUGACGCUGAGGCGCGAAAGCGUGGGGAGCAAACAGGAUUAGAUACCCCUGUAGUC
rnacentral:rRNA from 1 species